GACCUCGGAUCAGGUAGGGAUACCCGCUGAACUUAAGCAUAUCAAUAAGCGGAACGGG
rnacentral:rRNA from 1 species